rnacentral:rRNA from 1 species
UUUCAAGUGACGGUACCUGCAGAAGAAGCACCGGCUAACUACGUGCCAGCAGCCGCGGUAAUACGUAGGGUGCGAGCGUUGUCCGGAAUUAUUGGGCGUAAAGAGCUCGUAGGCGGUGUGUCACGUCGGAUGUGAAAUCCCGCGGCUUAACCCCGGGUCUGCAUUCGAUACGGGCAGGCUAGAGUUCGGUAGGGGAGAUCGGAAUUCCUGGUGUAGCGGUGAAAUGCGCAGAUAUCAGGAGGAACACCGGUGGCGAAGGCGGAUCUCUGGGCCGAUACUGACGCUGAGGAGCGAAAGCGUGGGGAGCGAACAGGAUUAGAUACCCUGGUAGUCCACGCCGUAAA